AGCAGGUCUACAAUCCAAAUGCUAGCAAAAGCAGCGCACAGGUGUGCAUCAUCUCCAAAAAUCUUCCAGCAUCCACAUGGCAGGUGAGAGCUGGGACGCUGAGUGAAAUGCAUAAACAAAAAUGUCACAUGUUCUAAUACACAUACUGAUGAGCAGAUAAAAUAAAAAAAACGAAGAUUUUGCACUGAAGGGGAAGAAGACAAUUUCACUCUGCUGAAACCAGUGCAUUACCUGUGUGUAACUAAAGAUAAACUCAUUUCUCUCUGAUGGGUAGCAAUAACUCAGGACUC